UUCGUGAUAAGAAUUCAAACUAUUUAACAAAAAAAAAUUAUUUGUUUAUAUGAUGAGUUAGACAUGAGCACUUAGGUUUCUGUUCGGGUAUAUAACGGUUUUUUGGGCAUCAGAUUUUUUGGGUAUCAGUUUUUCGUGUAUCCAUUUUUUGAAUUUUGAAAUUACGCUACAUUUGGGUAUUAUAAUUUUUUGGACGGGGUUCGAGUUGGAUCCUCCCAGAUCCGGAUGGAUUCAGUUCUGAUGGGUGGAAGCCUAAAAAAAUUAUUAAAAAUGGUAAAAACCAUCAUCCGAGCGGACACGCGGAUCAAACUCUAGUGUUUUAUUAAAAGAACAAAUAAAAGUUAUUCAAACCCAAAACUCGUAUAUCUUUACCAAUUAUCUGUUUUAAGACAUGAAUUUUUUUUUCUAAAAAUUAUUUUAUUCAAUAUUGUCCUUUUUUUUACACUGGAUAGUAUUAUUAAGCCUUCUAGGAAAAAAAAAUCUAAACAAUGAAAACUACCAAAACAAAAGUAGAAAAUGAAUACACCAGUAGAGAUACAAAAUAAACUAACACACAUCUAUUUUGCGUAUGGAUGAUUAAAGAUUUUUCAUAUAAACUCCAUAUUUGCUUCUGAAAUAGUUGAAUUUCAAGGGAUAUAAUAUUCAUAUUAAUCCAAAAACACCACGCUUGAGACUGAAUUGAGAACAAUUCCCAUUCUCUUUUUAAUACUUCAGUAGGAGUCAUCGAGAUAAGAGAGCUAUUUAUAUUUCUCUAUUGAUAAGAACAGAGUCAAGAGAUUACCGUUCCAUAGAAUUUCAUGCUGCCUUUCGAAAUAACCAUAGUUUGCAGCAAGAACACAAUCACCAUCAAAUGAUGAACCAUCAAUGAGUGAAGACGGUAACCAUAAUGAUUGGAUUGUGAGAGGAGAUAGAGAGAAGUGAUAUGGGACAGUGAAGCUUAAAUAAAAAGCACAAGGGAACAAACUAUUUUACGUAUUAACCAUAAUAAUUCCAUAGAUUUGAAUGAAAUUUCUCCAUUCGUGAUAAGAAUUCAAACUAUUUAACAAAAAAAAAUUAUUUGUUUAUAGGAUCAGUUAGACAUGAGCACUUAGGUUUCCGUUCGGGUACAUAACGGUUUUUUGGGUAUCAGUUUUUUGGGUAUCGGUUUUUUGAUUUUUGAAAUUACGCUACAUUUGGGUAUUAUAAAUUUUUGGGCGGGGUUCGAGUUGGAUCCUC
rnacentral:lncRNA from 1 species